GAAAUGCGAUACGUAGUGUGAAUUGCAGAAUUCAGUGAAUCAUCGAAUCUUUGAACGCACAUUGCGCCCUUUGGUAUUCCAAAGGGCAUGCCUGUUCGAGCGUCACUUGUACCCUCAAGCUUUGCUUGGUGUUGGGCGUUUUUUGUCUUUGGCUCGCCCAAAGACUCGCCUUAAAACGAUUGGCAGCCGGCCUACUGGUUUCGCAGCGCAGCACAUUUUUGCGCUUGCAAUCAGCAAAAGAGGACGGCAAUCCAUCAAGACUCCUUCUCACGUUUGACCUCGGAUCAGGUAGGGAUACCCGCUGAACUUAAGC
rnacentral:misc_RNA from 1 species